rnacentral:rRNA from 1 species
UACAGAGGGGGCAAGCGUUGUUCGGAAUUACUGGGCGUAAAGGGCGCGUAGGCGGCCCGCUAAGUCGAACGUGAAAUCCCCGAGCUCAACUCGGGAACUGCGUCCGAUACUGGCGGGCUUGAAUCCGGGAGAGGGAUGCGGAAUUCCAGGUGUAGCGGUGAAAUGCGUAGAUAUCUGGAGGAACACCGGUGGCGAAGGCGGUUCUCUGGGCAUGUCCUGACGCUGAGGAGCGAAAGUGUGGGGAGCGAACAGG